rnacentral:rRNA from 1 species
AUAGCAUAUAUUAAAGUUGUUGCAGUUAAAAAGCUCGUAGUUGGAUUUCUGGGAGGGUGCCAAUGUCCGCUUGAUGCGUGUGCAGCGGUGCCCUUCCAUCCUUCUGUUAACGUUUCUUGGUAUUAACUUACUGGUUGCGGGCUCAGAUAUUUUACCUUGAGAAAAUUAGAGUGUUUCAGGCAGGCUUGCGCCCGAAUACAUUAGCAUGGAAUAAUAGAAUAGGACUUUGGUCUCCUUUGUUGGUUUGAGGGACUGGAGUAAUGAUUAAUAGGGACAGUUGGGGGCAUUAGUAUUUAAUUGUCAGAGGUGAAAUUCUCGGAUUUGUUAAAGACUAACUUAUG